rnacentral:miRNA from 1 species
UUUACCGUCCCACAUACAU